rnacentral:rRNA from 1 species
CCUACGGGAGGCAGCAGUGGGGAAUAUUGGACAAUGGGGGAAACUCUGAUCCAGCGACGCCGCGUGAGUGAAGAAGUAUUUCGGUAUGUAAAGCUCUAUCAGCAGGAAAGAAAAUGACGGUACCUGACUAAGAAGCCCCGGCUAACUACUUGCCAGCAGCCGCGGUAAGACGGAGGGGGCAAGCGUUAUCCGGAUUUACUGGGUGUAAAGGGAGCGUAGACGGCAGCGCAAGUCUGGAGUGAAAUGCCGGGGCUCAACCCCGGAACUGCUCUGGAAACUGUGAAGCUGGAGUGCAGGAGAGGUAAGCGGAAUUCCUGGUGUAGCGGUGAAAUGCGUAGAUAUCAGGAGGAACACCGGCGGCGAAGGCGGCUUACUGGACUGUAACUGACGUUGAGGCUCGAAGGCGUGGGGAGCAAACAGGAUUAGAUACCCCAGUAGUC